rnacentral:misc_RNA from 1 species
GAUGAAGAACGCAGCGAAAUGCGAUAAGUAGUGUGAAUUGCAGAAUUUAGUGAAUCAUCGAAUCUUUGAACGCACAUUGCGCCCUAUAGUAUUCUGUAGGGCAUGCCUGUUCGAGCGUUAUUGAGACCUCAAGCUCUGCUUGGAAAUGGGCGCUUGUCUUGCCUUGCAGACUCGCCUUAAAACCAUUGGCAGCUGAUUUACAAUGUUUGGUGCACAGUACAUGAGCCCAAGUGUUGCAAUGAGUGGCCCAAAAGUAUACAAUAGAAGCUUAACCUCGGAUCAGGUAGGGAUACCCGCUGAACUUAAGCAUAUCAAUAAGGGAGGA